rnacentral:rRNA from 1 species
UUCCGGUUGAUCCUGCCGGAGGUCACUGCUAUCGGUGUUCGACUAAGCCAUGCGAGUCAAAUGUUCUUCGUGAACAUGGCGUACUGCUCAGUAACACGUGGAUAACCUGCCCUUAGGUCUGGCAUAACCCCGGGAAACUGGGGAUAAUUCCGGAUAGAUCAUCGAUGCUGGAAUGCGCUUUGAUCCAAAGCUAUUGUGCCUAAGGAUGGGUCUGCGGUCUAUCAGGUUGUAGUGGGUGUAAUGUACCUACUAGCCUACGACGGAUACGGGUUGUGGGAGCAAGAGCCCGGAGAUGGAUUCUGAGACAUGAAUCCAGGCCCUACGGGGCGCAGCAGGCGCGAAAACUUUACAAUGCGGGGAACCGCGAUAAGGGGACACCGAGUGCCAGCAUCCUAUGUUGGCUGUCCAUAUGUCUAAAUCACAUGUGUUAGCAAGGGCCGGGCAAGACCGGUGCCAGCCGCCGCGGUAACACCGGCGGCCCGAGUGGUGGCCACUAUUAUUGGGUCUAAAGGGUCCGUAGCCGGUUUGAUCAGUCUUCCGGGAAAUCUGACGGCUCAACCGUUAGGCUUUCGGGGGAUACUACCAGGCUUGGGACCAGGAGAGGUAAGAGGUACUACGGGGGUAGGAGUGAAAUCUUGUAAUCCCUGUGGGACCACCAGUGGCGAAGGCGUCUUACCAGAACGGGUCCGACGGUGAGGGACGAAAGCUGGGGGCACGAACCGGAUUAGAUACCCGGGUAGUCCCAGCUGUAAACUAUGCUCGCUAGGUGACAGGGACGGUGCGACUGUUUCUGGUGCCGCAGGGAAGCCGUGAAGCGAGCCACCUGGGAAGUACGGUCGCAAGGCUGAAACUUAAAGGAAUUGGCGGGGGAGCACUACAACGGGUGGAGCCUGCGGUUUAAUUGGACUCAACGCCGGGA